rnacentral:lncRNA from 1 species
CUCUCCAAAACCCAUCUGUUUUAGCAUUUUGAUCAGGAAACCCCAAUUCACAUGGCCGUAUGCCUUCUCUAUGCCUAGUUUGCACAUAAUACCUGGGUCCCCCCUUUUGAGCCUGGUGUCAACACAUUCACUUGCUAUUAAAACUGCAUCAAUGAUCUGUCUGCCUUUAAUGAAGGCCAUUUGAUGUUUGUUGACCAGCUUGUCUAUCACCCUUUUCAACCUUUCUGCCAGUAGUUUAGCAAUUAUCUUAUAAACUCCACCUAUCAAACUUAUAGGUCUAAAGUCCCUUAAUUCAACAGCUCCUACCUUUUAAGGGCUUAGAGCUACAUAAGUUGCAUUGAGGCUCUUCUCAAAAACUUGAUUGUCAUGGAACUGUUUCAUAGUGUUCAUGAUAUCUACGUUGAUGGUCUCCCAGAAGCUCUGAUAAAAACUCAUAGGGAAAUCAUCCGGGCCUGGAGCCUUGUCACUGGCACACAACUUGAGAGCUUCCAAGACCUCAUCUUCCUCAAAUUGUCGUUGCAGCCACUCUUUCUCCUCCGCAUUUAUUUCUUCAAACCCCUGCAGAUUGAAGUCUGGCCUCUAAUUUUCUGUUUCCUUGUAUAACUUCUGAUAGAAGCUUACAAUUUUCAGUAAUAGUCUCCCCUUCUACUUCUAUUUUUUCAAUCAAAUUGAACCUCCUGUGAGCUGUGGCAAUUCUGUGAAAAUACUUGGUGUUCUUAUCUCCUUGCUUAAGCCAUUGCACUUUGGAUCUUUGCCUCCAUGCUAUUUCCUCGUUUCUCGAGGUUUCAACAUACUGAUUUGAGAGGUGAACUUUAUGAAACAUCUCACUAUCAGUCAAAGUUCUUUGUUCCUGAAUUUCUUCAAGGUUUGUUAUUUGAGUCAGAAUACCUUGCUUCUUAAGUUUCCAGUUACCUCUGUUUUCUAGCCCCCACUCCUUUAAUUUCCCUUUAAGCAUUUUCAAUUUUGUGGCUAGCAUAAAGGAAGCUGAACCACUAACUGAAAAUGAAGCCCACCAUUCUGUGACUUUUUCUCUGAAACCUGCAACCCCUAUCCACCAUUGCUCAAACUUAAAAUAGCUCUUCCUGCAGUUUAGUUCUCCACAAUUCAGGACUAAGGGGUUGUGAUCUGAUCCUACUCUUGGGAGAACAUUUUGUCUGAUCUGUGAGAACAUCUCCUCCUAAUGAUUAGAAUAAAGGAAUCUGUCUAUUCUAGAUGAUGUUGUGUGAUUUUCCCCCGUCCUCCAUGUGUAGGAUCCUCCAAAUAAAGGAGGAUCAAUAAGUUCCAUCUCAUUGAUCCAAUCAGUGAACUCUGUCAUUGCCCCAGUUAAACUAUGAUUAUCAGUCCUCUCACUAGGAUACCUUGUGACAUUGAAAUCACCACACACCACCCAAGGCCCUUCAAAAGAGUUUUUUAUAGUUGCUAACUCCUCCCACAAUUCCCGUCUGGUCACUCUAUUGCAAUCAGCAUAAACUGCACUUAUAAACCAAGAAAUAUUAAGUUCUGUACCUACUAAUUUACAAGUAAGCAUCUGCCUCCCAGACCCAAUCAACUCCCCCCUCCAAUAUCUCUUAUCCCACAUCACAAAAAUUCCUCCACCUCUUCCCACAGCAUCUAAAUGAAAUUCCCCCAUCCACCUAUUAUGCCAAACUUCUUUGAGUAACACUGUAUCCCCCCAGACAGUUUUGUCUCAAGAAAAACAUAUACAUCAGCCCCUCAUUGCUUAGUGAGACCUCUGACCAAACUCCUUUUAUUCCCCCGUUCAAACCCCUCACAUUCCAAGAUAUGAUCUUGAUAUUCAUUUGAUCCUCAAAGGUGUUGUUCUCCCUCUACCUCAAGGUUUCCCGUCUUUGAAGUUCAUGUUGAACUCUAAGUUCUUCAGCUCCUUUGGGAUGUUUUUCUGAUUAUUGCUUUUCUAGUUAGCGUCCUUCAUUUGGUCUGCAUACCCUCUCUUUUGGUCUAUCUUCAUGAAUAGCUCAAAGGCUAUUCUAUCACAUCCUUUGAAAGCUGCUCCAAACUCCCUGCUGAAUUUUAGGACAUUGGAUUGCACCCAAAUGGUAGCCUUGUCUUCAAUUUCUUUCUCCGUCAAUGGUUCUUUCAUCUGUAUAGGCAUUGGCUCUUCAUAGGAUGUAAUGUGCCCAUUAGACAUCUCCCCACAAUCUGCUCCAUUCUCUUCACUGACCUCAAUACCAUCUUCCCCGGGGGUAGAAAGGGAAUUGUCUUCUCUUAUUUCAUUAUUUUGCAUGUUGACUUUCAUUAUCACUUUGCUGAAAUUCUAGUUCGCCUGUGCUUUUUUUAAUCUCUAUUAUCAUAAUUUUCUGCAGAUCUUCAGUGAAAAGGGUUGGGGAGAAGCAUAACUCUUCCUAGUUUAAACGAGGAAAAUUAAUGGAGGGGUCAGGGGUUUUGCCUUUAAUAAAAAUAGAGCUGUCAAGUUGUUGGGCUUUAGAAAUGAGAAAAGGCAUCUCAAGUUGUUGGGCUUUAGGCAGCCCAAAACAAUUCCCACAGAUCCACUGUACUUCUUUAAAUCCCUCUUCUUUUGGGUCCACCUCCUCCACGUGUGAAAUCACUUGUCCUGCAUUGACCACUUGACUUCUACUAAUCGAAGUACACGGGUUUUUGUUAAGAGACUCUGAAUAAACAUUUGAAUUUUUUGAAUUGUUUUUCCCAAGUCUCUCAUCUGUCUCAAUCAUCUGCAGUCUAGGGUUUUCAAUAGCCUUUUCUUUUCCAUACCUACUACUGACAUCUUGGGCCCCGAUUUCCUCAUCUGUCUUCUUCCGGUAAUUCGCCGGGGCUUCCACCCAAGUCGGUAAGGAGAAUAUGAAUUCGUCGUCGCUAAUCUCGACGGAGGAAGGUAUCUUUUCUCUUGGCCCUUUCACUCGGAUUCGCGCCCAUCUCAGGUGGUUUUUCAGUUGCGUCUCUUCCUCCGUCUCCAACCAUCCGCCGCAUAGGUCUCCAAUUUGCGUCAUCACUUUAUCGUUCCAGAGCUGGAGAGGAAGUCCUAGAACGCGGACCCAAAACCACUCGAAAUUGGUGUUUGAUGGAAAAGCUCCCACUGUUGGCGACCACCAUUCAAGAUGUAGCGGAUAAUUUUUCCGUCUCCAAUCACCCAUGAGUAUGCGUUCUGCAUCCCGUCUUGACUGGAACUCAAAAAGAAAUUGAAUUCCGUUCAUGUCAUAAAUCUGAAGGUUGUGAAUGCCCAUCCAUGUCUGUUGAGCCCAUCUUCUAACUUCGUUUCUGGUGGGUAUCUCGUCGCAAUCUGGGAAUCUGCCCACGAGACAUCUACCCAGUGGACCUUUGUCGCUACCAGCAAAUGUCGAUGAUGUUGUACUUCUAUUUUCAGUUCUCCAUUUUUGUCGUUGUAUUACUUGUUUGUAACUAUCUUCUCCCCUGAGUUCCAAAGAAAAGGAACUCCUGUGCUCUGUAUUUGAAACUGGCAUGCCUGACUUCUGAUCAAUGAACUCUUCGAUUUUUGAGACAAGUCCCCCCAACCUUCAUUAAAAGUGUUUUCUGGUAGUAUGAUCACAGUUCUGGCGUUACCGUUAACUGAAAUAACAGAGAUAAACCUACCGAAUUUAUUGAACUUUAAGGAACAAUAAAUGCUGAUGGAAACAUCUUUGCACUUCCAGGUCUUAAAUGACUUCCUUUUAAUGACUGACGCUUCUUUAAGUCUAUUGCAUAGCCACAUAAGUGCACCCCUACUGAGCUUCAUUCUCCUCAUAUACAUCCUUGCACUUUCCACCCAUUCAUACCAAAUCUCCGAGACUGAACAGGUUUCAGUCAGGUCGUAGGAUUUCCCCCCUAACCUAAAAUAAAUCCUUUUGUCCAUGUAGAAAGAAAGGUUUAAUAAGAAAGAGGAGGAGGAAAGAUGGUAAAAAGUUUCACCUGCUUUUUACUCUCAGGCACUACCGAAUUGUGAUAUUUUUCCCCCUUACCAUCUUAGAGAACGCUCUUUCUCUUAUAAGUCUCAUUCCUCCUAACCACCUUAAGAUAUCCAACAGGCACACAAGGUAUUCCCUAUCCCUUGAAAAAUCAUUACUCAUGUUUUCCUUUCAACUGAAUCUUGAAUUACAGAAACUACCUCAAUCAUAUGCAUUCUGCUCCAGGACAAGGCUAGUUCAAAAAGAUCAAAAGACAAAUUACUUCCCCGAAUGAACUUAUCCUGUCGGUUAAAGGUUACUUCAAGCCAAAAUGGUCAAUUAUCAUAAUAUGACCGUGGGGAAUCUUAGCCCUUAGAAGUUUAACUAAGAGACUGAUCAUGCACUUCACCGGCUUCAUCUUUUCUAUCAAGCAAUCUUACAUACCUUCUAAUAGAAUCUUUAUCACCUGAUCUGGACCAUUUCACAACGUGAGACUCUUCUACGUCCCUUUGUGGAUUUACCUUCAUAAUCGAUUAUGAAUGCUUCAAGAGUUCAAUUUAAUUUAUUGUACAACACAACAAGGACCAGUAGUAUUGUUGCAAUAAUAUCACCAUCAGCACUUUAGUUUCAAGCAUGCAUCAUUCAUUCAUUCAAGACGUAACUCUAUCGCCUCAAACGUAAGCUCCAUGCUCCUGAUGUAUGAAUUCACCAAUGCACCGGUACUUUACGGGUAAAAACUAGAUACACAAGACCACAUCUAAAUUGUCGUGGAAUGCUUUGCCCGGUGCACUGUACUAGUAUUGUGUCUUUUUCCACCAAUAGCAAAAGCAAUAACAACUUCUGGGAGAGAUUCUUCUCCUCCUUAUCAAAAGACAAGCUUUUUCUCCCAAAUCUCUAUUUGAUCCAGAAAAUGAAAAUAGCAACAAACGUUUAAUAAUUUGGGAGAAAGCAAUCAUGAUUAUUGAAUACUCCUUUAACAUCUUUUGAAAUGUUUGUAUCAGAAGUUAUUCAACACAAUACGCUCAGGGGGUACUCACGAAGAAAGCUGGUAUUACAAGAGCAUCAAAGGCUCACUAUAUUAUCAAGAACAGAUUAUUCACGCAUCUUCAUCAUUAAGAAUAAUAGGUGACCCUCUCCCUUUGCACGACUUCCUUUCCUAAAUAUAGUAACUAACAGCUUUCUCAAAAUAUCAACAUCUUUAGUUGGAUAGAGAGUUCGAUACAUUCAGAAGCAUUUGGUUGAAGAGCCUGAUAGCAAGGGCUGCAGAGCAUCUGCUAUUAGUUUCCUACUAGAACAGAGGAAAGUUUAAUUGGUCCAGUAGGACCGAUAACUAACAAGUAGCAGCAAAACUUAAUCAACAUUUCCAUGUAUCAGCAAAAAUGGAAGAG